UACGGAGGGUGCAAGCGUUAUCCGGAUUCACUGGGUUUAAAGGGUGCGUAGGCGGGCAGGUAAGUCAGUGGUGAAAUCCUCGAGCUUAACUCGGGAACUGCCAUUGAUACUAUCUGUCUUGAAUAUUGUGGAGGUGAGCGGAAUAUGUCAUGUAGCGGUGAAAUGCUUAGAUAUGACAUAGAACACCCAUUGCGAAGGCAGCUCACUACGCAUAUAUUGACACUGAUGCACGGAAAGCGUGGGGAUCAAACAGG
rnacentral:rRNA from 1 species